AUUGAACGCUGGCGGCAUGCCUAACACAUGCAAGUCGAACGGAAACAGGAAGCGGCUUGCUGCUUUGCUUACGAGUGGCGGACGGGUGAGUCAUGUCUGUGAAACUGCCUGAUGGAUGGGGAUAACUACUGGAAACGGUGGCUAAUACCGCAUAACGUCUCAAGCCCAAGGUUGGGGACUUUAGGGCCGUUUUCCAUCCAAUUUUCCCAGGUGGGAUUAGCUAGUAGGUGGGGUAACGGCUCACCAAGGCCACAAUCCAUAGCUGAUCUGAGAGGAUGACCAGCCACACUGGAACUGAGACACGGUCCAGACUCCUACGGGAGGCAGCAGUGGGGAAUCUUGCACAAUGGGCGAAAGCCUGACGGAGCAACGCCGCGUGUAUGAAGAAGGUCUUCGGGUCGUAAAGUACUUUCAGCGGGGAGGAAGGGAGUAAAAAGAAUCUCUGUACUCAUUGACGUUACCUGAAGAAGAAGCCACGGCUAACUCCGUG
rnacentral:rRNA from 1 species